UACGGAGGGUGCGAGCGUUGUCCGGAAUCAUUGGGCGUAAAGGGCGCGUAGGUGGCCCGGUCAGUCUUUGGUGAAAGCGCGGGGCUCAACCCUGCGUCGGCCAGGGAUACUGCCGCGGCUCGAGCACUGUAGAGGCAGGCGGAAUUCCGGGUGUAGCGGUGGAAUGCGUAGAGAUCCGGAAGAACACCGGUGGCGAAGGCGGCCUGCUGGGCAGUAGGGGCAACCCCUGGAAGCUGACACUGAGGCGCGACAGCGUGGGGAGCAAACAGG
rnacentral:rRNA from 1 species